rnacentral:rRNA from 1 species
CCCUAGAGGAGCCUGUUCCAUAAUCGAUAAACCCCGAUCUACCUCACCCUCUCUUGCUUAGCCUAUAUACCGCCAUCUUCAGCAAACCCUGAUAAAGGUUACAAAGUGAGCACAAACGCCCUGCCGCCGCAAAAACGUUAGGUCAAGGUGUAGCCCAUGAGAGGGUAAAAAUGGGCUACAUUUUCUACAUCAGAAAACCCCACGAAAACUCUUAUGAAACCUGAGAGUCCAAGGAGGAUUUAGCAGUAAAUUAAGAAUAGAGUGCUUAAUUGAACCAGGUCAUAAAGCGCGUACACACCGCCCGUCACUCCCCUCAAAUAUAUUUAAGGAACAUCCUAACUAAACGCCCUAAUAUUUAUAUAGAGGGGAUAAGUCGUAACAUGGUAAGUGUACUGGAAGGUGCACUUGGAC